rnacentral:lncRNA from 1 species
UAUUUAUUUAUAAAUAAAGCCCGCAAGGCCCGGCCCAUAAAAGCCCGCAAGGCCAAGCCCGGCCCGGCCCGAAAAAGCCCGCAAGGCCCGCUUUAUAUGGACGGGCUUGGAUCCUUUGAUUUUUAAUAAAGCCCGGCCCGGCCCGGCCCGCAAUUAUUUAAAAAUAUGGCAAGGCCCGGCCCGGCCCGGCCCGAGCCCGCUAUGAAUGGGCCGGGCCGGGCCCGGCCCGGCCCGUUGACGACCCCUACCCAGCUAUAUAGAAGCUUCGACCG